rnacentral:lncRNA from 1 species
CGGCUGCUUUGAUUUCUAAUGGAAAAGCUUUCCUUUGAUUUGUGGGAUAAGUUGAUGUCUCAUUUCUCUCUUCAGGUAUAUAUAUGUAUUACCUGAAAGCCCAGGGCAGUUGUUGCCUUGGGUCAUGCAGAGAAUAUGCAGCCACACCCAUGCCUUAGAUGUGUGUAAUUCAAGUGGAGAAGACACAAGCCAGUGGUCGCAAUAUCAACACUUGAGUGUUCUGUAAACGGAUUGGUGUCAGCAGAAAACCAACAGUGAUGUGGUGGCACACAGUGAACUGACAGGACCCAGGCAGCAGCGGUUCUUUUGGUGGCAAUGGUGCCAUGUCAUGGGUACUCUCCUUGCUGAUGGCAGAUACCGACAGGCAAACUGUUGCCUUGCGUUUAGCUCUGUUAACCAUUGACAGUAAGAUUUAUCAGAGGUUGCAGCUGCACAUGGCCAUGAGGUAAACCUUGCCCCUGUUUGAAAUUGAGUUUCAUCAGCUUCUACAUGGGAUUAUAAGGACUUGGAAUAUAUCACAGACCCAGCAGGGUUUCCCCCCUCAUUUUUUUUUUUUAAGAUUUAUUUUUCUUCCUAAAGAUAACAUGCUUAAACAAAGUUCUUUAUGGUUAGUAACUGUGAUGCUUGAAGUUGGUUAUCCCUUACUCCAG